GCGUCGGUAGUGCAACAUCCCAGCAUGCGCUCCCGAAAAGAGUGAGAUCCGGGUUCGAAUCCCAGCUGACGCA